UCUUAUGGAUGAGCAAAGAAUGUGGUUUCUUGAGAUGGAAUCUACUUUCGGUGAAGACGCUGUGAA
rnacentral:pre_miRNA from 1 species